rnacentral:tRNA from 1 species
GCCUCUGUAGCUUAACGGUGGAGCGGCGCUUUCGUAAAGCGCAGGUUGGGAGUUCAAAUCUCCCCAGAGGCU